UACGGAAGGGGCAAGCGUUGUUCGGAAUCAUUGGGCGUAAAGGGUGCGUAGGCGGGUCUUUAAGUCAGGGGUGAAAUCCUGGAGCUCAACUCCAGAACUGCCUUUGAUACUGAAGAUCUUGAGUUCGGGAGAGGUGAGUGGAACUGCGAGUGUAGAGGUGAAAUUCGUAGAUAUUGCAAGAACACCAGUGGCGAAGGCGGCUCACUGGCCCGAUACUGACGCUGAGGCACGAAAGCGUGGGGAGCAAACAGG
rnacentral:rRNA from 1 species